UCCAGGGUAGCCUAGUGGACAUGGCAUCUGCCCGGUAAGCGGAACACUGUGGGUUCGAUUCCCAUCCAUUAGAA
rnacentral:tRNA from 1 species